rnacentral:lncRNA from 1 species
AUGAGACCGAGGCUGACUAAGUUGUUCCAAGAACUGACUUUCUCCCCGACCCCUUCCUAAAUAUCCAAAGACCAUACUGUACUGACCAGUGUCAUUUACAUUUUGCCUCCUGACAAAAAUUCUAGAAGCUGAUGUAGGACUGCAUAGGUAGAUCCAGACCGUGAGAUGUUUUAGGGGCUCAAGGGGAGAAACUGAAAGUGUUUUGCUCUUUUUUGAAGUGUCGGUCUUUCUAAUGUAGCUUUUUUUUUCUCCUUGCAUCUUUUCCACUCGGGCACACUUGAUGGGUUAAUGGCUAGUACUGUAUUGACUGUAGAAGACAUUUGUGAAAAGUAUGUAGUGGCUUCUUCCAACCCAUUUGAUGCUGAAUAUCUGUUCACUUUGAGAUCCCAAUUCUGUUCUAAUCUCACCAGAUGCUACUGUACUUGAAUUGUUAAUAAACUGCACAGUGCUGUUUCAAAAAAGGAAAGAAAGAAAAAAG